UACAGAGGGUGCAAGCGUUAAUCGGAAUUACUGGGCGUAAAGCGUGCGUAGACGGUUACAUAAGUCGGGUGUGAAAGCCCCGGGCUCAACCUGGGAAUUGCAUUCGAGACUGCGUAGCUAGGGUGCGGAAGCGGGAAGCGGAAUUUCCGGUGUAGCGGUGAAAUGCGUAGAUAUCGGAAGGAACACCAGUGGCGAAAGCGGCUUCCUGGUCCAGCACCGACGUUCAGGCACGAAAGCGUGGGGAGCAAACAGG
rnacentral:rRNA from 1 species